rnacentral:rRNA from 1 species
UUUAUGGAGAGUUUGAUCCUGGCUCAGGAUGAACGCUGGCGGCGUGCCUAAUACAUGCAAGUCGAGCGAACGGACGAGAAGCUUGCUUCUCUGAUGUUAGCGGCGGACGGGUGAGUAACACGUGGAUAACCUACCUAUAAGACUGGGAUAACUUCGGGAAACCGUAGCUAAUACCGGAUAAUAUUUUGAACCGCAUG